AUAUCAAAUUUUUCAAUGCCAAAUUCUAUAUGCAAUAAGAAUAACCUUCGCUGUUAUCGCCUUCAGUUUUCACAUAAUCCUAAGCAAAUUUUCCAAUCUGUUAAUGCCAAACGAAUACUUCUAUUCUGCUAACUUUAUAUAGACUCUACAGUAUGUAGUAUGACACAUGAGAAUUAAAAAAGUAAAAUUUUCAUUUUUAAACUAUUUAGCAAAAAUUCUUAAUCUAUGGUCUUAAUUAAUUUUUAUUUUUGUACCUCGCAACUGGGAUGCACAACAUUACCUCGGGAUUGCGGAAAAAAAUAGAUAACCCGUUUUUCGCUAAUUUUCCACUGUUCAUUUUAAAAUCGCUGAAUUGCGUAUUCAUCAAGUUCUUAAAUUGAGAUCUGAAAAUGAGUUUGAUCCCGAACGAGCGAAACUUCGUCUAAAAACUCAUUUCUCAGAGAGAAGGCAUAGAUUUAACAAUGAGUGUGAAGCAUAUUUUUUACAAAUUUCCAUUAAGUUCCUUGAAAAUUAAUUUAAUCGUGUAAUUGUCUAAGCUAGGCGGAUGGGAUGGUUUUCCACAAACUCCGGACACGGCGUGCACCUUCAUCAGAAAAGCAACCUCAAAUUUGGCUUGCCAUCUUGACAAGGAUGCAAGAUAGCUUUUAAUUUAAGAAUUUCAAAACAGUCGACUUUUCAUGCUAUGCGAUUUCAUCUGCGAAUGCUGACUGCUUUAUUAAAUGGACAAUUGCAAGAAAUUAAAAUUCCAGCUUAACUGCCGUUGUGCAAUAAGCACAUACACGAUAUUAUGCUCAUAACUUUGAGGCAUAUUCUCUUCAAGCCAACUUUCCAUAAUGUUGAAAAAAUAUCUGGCAAAAUAUUUAAUUUUGAAGACAAUGGUAUACACACUUAGUUUCCUUUCAUUGACCAUUAAGACAAAACAUAGAUAAAAUGAAUGAGAUUACGAAAAUGUAUGGUUAAGGAGCGGAAAUUAUUCUCUUAAUCGAAAUUUUUAUUAUAAAGGGACUAAUCUGCGGAGAGGCACACAAAGCGAAAUUGACGCCAAGUGCACCAAACGUUACGCUUGGGGACUUUGAGGCAUUUGAAGACUGUCUUAAAUAAGAGAAGUCCUUCAACAAUUUUAUCAUUGAAUUAGUCGCAAAUUCUGAAAAAACAUACGACAAAUUUAUCAGGUGCUUUUGGCGCCAGAUAAUAAGAGACGAUGUUGCAAAACAAUGCUCCUGGCGUGGGACAGAGAAGAAAAUGUGUGUUACACAUUAGCCAAUCAAAACGGCGAUUUUGACCGCAUAACACAAACGUAAUUUCAAUACGCGCAGAAAAGAGGUUAGAAAAGUCGGAUGCCAAAAUAAUGAUCCUGCAUAGGUACAAACGCUAUAUCAGACUGUAUAACAGAGCCCUGAGAGACCUCCACCCUGCAGAUUGAAUUUACAGAUCGGACAAUAGAAACCAAAAUUAUUCCAGAAAUAAUGUUUGUGCUCCCGCCCGGAGGUCGUUUACUUUGCAUAUAAAUGUUUGCAAAUUAUAAGCAUUAAGCUUCUAACAAUUUGGCAGAAGACUAAAUCACAUAGCUUCCUUAGAAAAAUUGCGAAAGCUGAGAUUUGGUCUGAAGUUUCAAGUUAUUUCAAGUGAACUCUCAUCCGUCAUCUAAGCUUACAAACAAUCAACAUAAACUACCUUAUCAUAUGUUUUCCAAAGUUGCAUUUUUGCAUACAAUAAACGUUGACAUUAGUCUUUUUCUCGCCACCCGAAAAAACAUUAUUCUUUUUAACAUACU